GACGUAGGGCGCGAGCGUUGUCCGGAUUUAUUGGGCGUAAAGAGCUCGUAGGCGGUUUGUCGCGUCUGCCGUGAAAGUCCGGGGCUCAACUCCGGAUCUGCGGUGGGUACGGGCAGACUAGAGUGAUGUAGGGGAGACUGGAAUUCCUGGUGUAGCGGUGAAAUGCGCAGAUAUCAGGAGGAACAGCCGGUGGCGAAGGCGGGUCUCUGGGCCGAUACUGACGCUGAGGAGCGAAAGCGUGGGGAGCGAACAGG
rnacentral:rRNA from 1 species